UGUCUGUAAAAUGUAAUAAGAAC
rnacentral:piRNA from 1 species